UAGAUAAUGCCAUUUUGGUAGGCCGUACAUGGUGCUUUCAUAUAUCGCCUCGUGUAUAAAAAUAUUCGUAUUAGUAGUGUUUAUUACUUCGCAUUUAAACUACGUGGGCGCUUUAUUUAAGUCGUUUAACUUGUUUCGCUUUUGCUAGACAUUGUCGUUUCAGUUUGUCGGAUUAGUUAGUCGAAGACCGUGCGCAAUUUCAAUUUGAAGUCACAUUUGUACGGUCGUCGUCCGCUGUUGACGACAUAGAUCCCGUCCCAGCGAACAAAGGAACAGUAAGGCCGAUGCAUGAUUGUCAGUGCAAUUCAGCAGGGAUAUUAUCUGUGAAAUACUUUGAGUUAAUUACUUUAACGCGGGUUUUGUUGUAGAGUUUUUAUUUGGGACGGCGUUGCCCAACCAUAACUAAAGAGAAACCCGACUCAUUCCGACGUGUUAGCAACAUCGGCUAGGAUUAGCCGCAGUAGUGGACGGCUAGCCAGCUAACUGCUAACUUUAGCGUUGUUUUGACUGGAACCAGAAUUUUUCAUUUUGAGAAAAUGGCCGAAGUAUACAUUCGAGUAGCAGAGGAGGAAAACGAGGAGCCCAUGGAGAUCCCAUCCGAGGACGACGGCACUGUUCUGCUUUCAACCGUCGCUGCACAGUUUCCAGGGGCUUGCGGCCUGCGUUUCCGGAGCCCCGUGUCCCAGUGCAUGAGGGGAGUGCGUCUAGUGGAAGGAGUUCUGCACGCGCCAGAAAACGGAUGGGGCAAUGUUGUUUAUGUGGUGAACUAUCCAAAAGACAACAAAAGAAAAAUGGAUGAAAUUGAUGCCUCCUCUGCUGUGAAAAUGAAGAGAGGGGACAUGAAGACAUCUGACCUGAUUGUUCUUGGUCUACCUUGGAAAACAACUGAACAGGACCUAAAAGACUACUUUAGUACAUUUGGGGAAGUCAUUAUGGUCCAGGUAAAACGAGAUGCUAAGACCGGAAACUCUAAAGGGUUCGGCUUUGUGAGGUUCACAGAGUAUGAGGCUCAAGAAAAAGUGAUCUCCCAGCGCCACAUGAUUGACGGCAGAUGGUGCGACUGCAAGCUCCCUAACUCGAAGGUGAAUAUGAUACAUUGCUUUUAUUUACAGCAAGGUCCAGAUGAGCCACUGAGAAGUCGCAAGGUGUUUGUGGGUCGUUGCACAGAAGACAUGACUACAGAUGACCUACGUCAGUUCUUUAUGCAGUAUGGAGAAGUUACAGAUGUCUUCAUCCCCAAGCCAUUUCGUGCUUUUGCCUUUGUCACAUUUGCAGAUGAUCAGGUUGCCCAGUCUCUUUGUGGAGAGGAUCUAAUUAUCAAAGUUCACCUCUCUUCCAUUUUCCUGUGAGGAAUCUCCUCUUUGGCAGCAUUCAUGGGGUGAUAUCGGUAUCAUUCGCCCUCUUCCCACCUGUAAAUGCUAUGCCAUCAAAGAACGGCUUCACUCCGCAUGUUCUAAGAGACGGGACCUUGGGCUCUGCUGGCAGUUUGAACCCUGACUGAAGUCUGUUCUGAUGGACGACGACGGAAGUUCCAACACUUUCAGUGUGUGGCCUUCUCAGACAUGACAUGGGGUAGUACCUGUCUUUUUGCUGCUUUUAAUGGCUUUUCAGACUGAAUUAUCUUUUAGUCAUUCAUAGCUACAUUUAAAGUUAAAGAGAAUCUAAAAAGGGGUUUUCUUUUAUUUAAAAAGCAUGAGCUCAGCAAUAUGACAUUGAAACUAAUUUGGUUACAGUAACAAGACUAGUGUCACAUUGCUGAGCUUUGGAUGUGUUGGUGAAUUUGCUUUAUGUGCUUAUUAUGGGCCUUUAAACUGACAGUGAUAAGAUUAUAGCGUGAACAAAUUGUGAUAUAUUGAGGCUGCCCUUAAACUUUGAAAAUUGGUAAAAUCACCCACCUUUAGUUUGUUUACUUAUUGAUUUUGGUUAUGCUUGUUUCCAUUUAUAUACUGCUUUUCAUGACGAACCAAUCUCUAACACACUACAGUCUAAUGUCUGGAGAUUUAUCCAGGUCAUGUGUAUCCCAAAGGUAGUAUUUAAUGGCAACUGGACUUGCUUUAGGUUCUUGAAGAAUUUUUUUUGAAGGCCCUUCAAGUAAAACUUCAAGAACUAAAAACAAGUCCAGUUGCCACUGAACAGCACCUUUGGGAUGACGACAAUGUUUGCACUUCUGUUUCUCGCCAUAAAUUGGCUACUAAAUGUGAUUUGAUCUUUAGUCACAGGUGGUGGUAAACAAUACUUUAGACUGAUGAGACAUGUUAUUAAACGUAGAGUGAGGGUAACAGACCCGCUUCAUUUAUAAAUGUUUAGCAUUUAUUUGACUUGUACAUACAGGUCACCACAAACUAAGCCAGUGCUUUUCAAACAGCACUUGUGGACAGGAUAAACAAAGGCAGAAUGCUUGGGCAGAACAGAAUUACGUUGUGUAAAGAGACUUGUGUACCAACAUGACACCAUCCCAACAGUGAAGACGGCACCAUGAUUUGAGACUGCUUCAUGUUGUAAAGACGAAAAUGAAUUCUGAUGCUCAGGAACAGAAUGGCCUUGGGAGACACACAUUCUGCCUGUAGGAGUCUUCUAGAGGACAUAACCUAGACAAAAUCAUCUGGAAUAAUCUCAUAUUUCACACCAGACGUCCCCGAGAUUGUGGUUAGGCUUGUUUUCAUUUUUUUAUUUAUUUCCAGCUUGAUGAAAAUGUGAACAUUUUAUUAAUACAUUUAUGCUGAAACUUAAGCAUAACCCAUAACUUAAGCGUAAUAUACAAAAACAACUGGCACACAUUGUGUAUGUUCAUAUGAAAGCUCGGCACAAGAGGGACACUGAAGGCCUGCCAAUGUCUUGAACUCAUUCUCUGCUUUCCUCUUCAGUGUCUCUGCUUUUCUUCUUCCCGGUAUUUUUCUUUUUCAGAUCCUGGUUCAGUGCUUCACUUUUAUUUUGUAUGUAGAUUGACUGAAAUGAAUAAAGGCAAAUUCAACAAUGA